rnacentral:lncRNA from 1 species
AGGAACAUACUUAGAACAGUUCGAUAGUGAAAUGAAAUUUAAACAUAUGGCAGUUAAAAUAAUAACUGAAUAAUCAUCGAUAAGCUUGCAAGAUAAUUGAAGUUUGUAUGACUUUCCAACGAAGAAACUUGCACGAAUAAAUAACUAACACAAGUCCAAUACUUACCCUUACUGCGAUAAUAUUAGUAAGGAUUUAAUAAAUACCCAAAAGAAAUUAGGGUUAGGAAACUUGCCUGAUAAGCCUGCUACAAUUAACGCUAGCAAUUAACCUUCACAUAACCUAAUCACAUGUGUCUCGUAAAUCACCAUUCAUACACAAUCUAGUUUGAAG